rnacentral:rRNA from 1 species
AAUCUUCCACAAUGGACGAAAGGCUGAUGGAGCAACGCCGCGUGAGCGAAGAAGGUUUUCGGAUCGUAAAGCUCUGUUGUGAGGGAAGAACAAGUACAGGAGUAACUGCCUGUAUCUUGACGGUACCUCAUUAGAAAGCCACGGCUAACUAAGAGCCAGCAGCCGCGGUAAUACGUAGGGGGCAAGCGUUGUCAGGAAUUCUUGGGCGUAAAGCGCGCGCAGGCGACCUUUUAAGUCUGAUGUGAAAGCCCACGGCUUAACCGUGGAAGGUCAUUGGAAACUGAGAGGCUUGAGUACAGAAGAGGAAAGCGGAAUUCCACGUGUAGCGGUGAAAUGCGUAGAGAUGUGGAGGAACACCAGUGGCGAAGGCGGCUUUCUGGUCUGUAACUGACGCUGAGGCGCGAAAGCGUGGGGAGCAAACA